UUGAAUAAAAACUUGAACAGGUUGUUGCUGGCUCUUUUAAUGGCAUGUGCACACUUGUACAUUUUUAUUAUUUCUCCAACUUGUGCAUUUAUAAAAUAUAGGGACUGCUGUGCUUUUGUUUAGUUCAGCUUUUCCUUACAAUCACAUUUGAAAUAUUUGAAUAAAAAUGAAUUUGUAUUAUAUA
rnacentral:misc_RNA from 1 species